rnacentral:rRNA from 1 species
AAAUUGAAGAGUUUGAUCAUGGCUCAGAUUGAACGCUGGCGGCAGGCCUAACACAUGCAAGUCGAGCGGCAGCGGAAAGUAGCUUGCUACUUUGCCGGCGAGCGGCGGACGGGUGAGUAAUGUCUGGGAA